GUCGCCAGGCAGAAUAACAGGCAUGGAAAGAAACGAAAGGCAGCGGUUGGAGAACUUCGAUUGUCUGUUGCUGUGCACAAAGCUGUCAUGGGUUCCUUGAAAUGCUGCAGAAGUUGAAAUUGAGUGCAGAGAAUGGUUUCAAACAGCCUCUGAUCAUGACGGUGGCAGAAACGCAAGGGUGGACAAGAAACGUGAUGAAGCGUCGCAAUUUAUUAUAACUCGUUUGUUUAAACUGUGAAUUGAGUCUUCUAUUGGAAUCAUUUAUUAUGUAAAGGUCUCUUUGAACUUGUAAUUACUUAUUUUACACAACCUUUAUGCAUAAUGAUGGAAGCAGUGUUUUUGUUAUUAUUAUUAUUUUUAGCCUUUAUUACAUAAAUAGCUUAAAUUGUGUAUGUGUUACUUUUCAACAUAUUCGUGUUAUAAUCAUUUUAAUUUGUCUUUUUUUUAAGGAAACUCAGUCGAUUUGUCAUUAAACAGUUUGUUUAAAAAUGUUAUUUUUUUAGUUGCUGUACCAGUAGAAUUAUAUAGACAUAAUUUGUUUUACAUUUGUUAGUUUUGGUAUAUAUAAAUAUGUUUUACACCGUUAGAAUAAAAAUGUUGGAUCGAGUAAUUCAUAAGUAUAUUGUUUUACAUUUUCAGUUAAGUUAGUAGUGUUAUUAACAAAUACUUUAAUUGUUCCAGUUUGGUUAAAUAGAAUGUUAAAAUAAAACUUUGUUUAAAGGAAAUUUUUCUUUCAUUUAUUUAAGGAACUGGUUAAAUGGUAGGCCCUUAACAAUACCAACAACAAUUACAAAUAAUUGAGGCCAGACUUGGACUGGGGAAUGGUUAAAAGUACCAAUACUAUGUUGUUGUUUUUUUGUUGAUGGAUAGAAAUUUGCUGGAUUAAAUUGUUACAAUUUUGUGUGUAUUGUAUGAAUACUAUGUUGUAUUUUGCUGACUAGUCUUGUUACUAUUUUUUGUGUAUCGUAUGACUUCUAUGUUGUUUAUGCUGACUAUUCUUACUUGUUACUACUUUUUGUGUAUCCUAUGACUUCAUUGUUGUAUUUUGCUGACAAGUCUUACUUGUUACUAUUUUUUGUGUAUCGUAUGACUACAAUGUUGAAUUUUGCUGCCUAGUCUUACUUGUCACUAUUUAUUGUGUAUCGAAUGACUUCAUUGUUGUAUUUUGCUGACUAGUCUUACUUGUUACAAUUUUGUGUGUAUCAUAUGACUACUAUAUUGUAUUUUGCCGACUAGUCUUACUUGUUACUAUUUUUUGUGUAUCGUAUGACUACUAUGUUGUAUUUUGCUGACUAGUCUUACUUGUUACUAUUUUUUGUGUGUCGUAUGACUAUAUACUAUGUUGUAUUUUGCUGACUAGUCUUAAUUGUCCCCUACCGAUGAAACCGGAUUGGACUUAUGGUUUGCACUCCGUAUGUCUGUCUGCAGAGGCGUAUUUAGGUGGGGUGCUAGGGGGCUAAAGCGCCCCGAGCUGGCUCGCUAGAUACCAUAAAAAAAAAUUGAGCCCCUUGCAGUUUCAAUCCACUUGUAUAUUUCCUGUCAUAUGCCCAUUAAAUUAAGCCAUAAACAGCUGUCGAUUUGUGUGAUUAGCCCCCAGGCAUGUGUCCAUACGAUCUAACCUUCGCCAGCUAAACUGCACGCUUCAUUGACUGUUAGUGAUAAACUGUGCUAUUUGAUUGGCUGAAGGAGAUACAUUCAACUAAUGAUACAUUUAGCUAUAGGUACAUGUUUACAUGAGACUUGUGAAAACAAUAAUUCAAUUUGUAGCGAUUAAAGAGUUUAGACGAACGCAAUGGACAAUCAUCAUCAAAUUUUCGGUAAGAUUUGUUCAAUGAAUUUAAAUGGCUGCCGCAUGGGACUUGUGAAAAACAAUAUUUCAAUUUGUAGCAAUUAAAUAGUUAAGAUGAAUGCAAUGGACAAUCAUCAUUAAUAUUUCGGUAAGUUUCUUUGAUGAAUUUAAUUGAUAUUAUCUCUUGAGAGUGAUAAUCCUUUUGAGUAACAAGUUAUUGCCAGUAAAAUUCAACAGCACACCCAAUUAAUGGCAAUUAAUUUGUUUUUGUUUUUUUACCAAAUGAGCUGAUUGCUUUGAUGUUCAUUUAUAGUUUUAUGCCCCCGAUAGGGUGGCAUAAAGCAGUUGAACAUUCAGUCCGUCUGUCUGUCAUUCUGUGCUUCCAUCCGAAAACUUUAACAUUGGCCAUAACUUUUUCAAUAUUGAAGAUAGCGACUUGAUAUUUGGCGUGCAUGUGUAUCUCAUAGAGCUGCACAUUUUGAGUUGUGAAAGGUCAAGGUCAUCCUUCAAGGUCAAAGGUUAAAAAAUCAAAAUCCAAGGGAAGUAACAAGCCUUAAAGGGAGAUAUUUUCUAUUUUAUACCAUUUGGCACGUGCAGAUCAUUUUCACAAGGGAAGUAAUAUUUCUAAAGGGAUAUAAUAAAAAAAAAAUAAUUCAAAGCCACGCAGUAGGGGGCAUUGUGUUUAUGACAAACACAUCUCUUGUUGAAAUAAAAAAGAACUUCAAAAUGAAUUACUUUGCUAGUAUGAAACUAAAUCAUUUUCAAAAUGAAACGCCAACAAGCAACAUUUGAAUCCAUUUGGAACAAGACACAAAAAACUAAUGAACCAACUGAAUAUGAGUCUGUUGCUGCUAUCAGGUACUUUCCAAAAAAUUUGAUUGUGUUCAAAUUGUACUUUAUAAUUUCAUGGUAAGAAAAAUUAUUGAAAACUUUGAAGUCAUUAAUUAUCUUCGAUUACUUUAUCUAUUUUCAGCUCUCCGGCAAUUACGACACCCUCUUUUGUGGAUUAAGAGACAUUUGAUUUACCCCUGUGUGUCUGUCUGUAUGUGUGUCGGUUACACUUAAUUGAUGUCUGAACUCAAGUUCUUGUUUGUUUUAAAUACACUUUUAUCAUGCAAAAUGCUGAUUAGAUAGCAGGAAAUUGCAUCAUUUCAAGGUGCCAUUUAAAAAAAAAUUCGACGACGGCAGGGGACACCCUCCCGCACCCUCCCCAGGCAGCUGAGCCCCCCCCCCUCGGAAAAAUUUCUGGAUACGCCUCUGGUCUGUCAGUCCGUCACACUUUUCUGGAUCCUGCGAUAACUUUAAAAGUUCUUCAUAUUUUUUCAUGAAACUUGAAACAGGCAUAGAUGGCAAUAUGGAAAUUAUUCACGUCAUUUUCUUUUGUUCCUACGUCAAAAAAUCAUGUUGCUAUGACAACAAAUUAAAAAAAAUAUUAAUUUUUUUACUGACAAUGGUGGGGUUUCGCCGGUAGGGGACCAUAUUGCUUGGCAAUCUCUUGUUGUUACUAUUUUAUGUGUACCGUACGCCAUCCAGUUUAAAGAAAUGGUUACAUGUAGAAAAUACAUGUAUAGUAAUAUCAAGAGCACCACCUCUGAAAAUUUCUAUACGUUUCUCGUCAAUGUCCAGAGGUGGAUAAUCAUUAUUGGCUUAUCAAGUCUGGACAAGUGUUUAAUAGGCAAUAAUAUCACCUGUAAAUAAUACCCGAAAGGUGAGUUAGAAAGUAUGUAUAGAUAGAUAGGCUUUAUAUAGGUAUAUAGUGUUACAUAUUGUCAAGAAAUAUGUUAAAGGGACAUUACUGUGUUAAACUAAAUACUAGAUCCCAUAAGAGUUGUCUCUACUGUUCAUCUUGUGUUUAUAUGACUAUGCUUAAUAGUUUGUUGUACACUUGUAGCUUGGGUAUGAAUGAAUACACAUGUAACCACA